UACGUAGGGGUGCAAGCGUUUGUCCGGAAUUAUUGGGCGUAAAGAGCUCGUAGGCGGUCUGUCGCGUCGGUCGUGAAAACUUGGGGCUUAACCCUGAGCUUGCGGUCGAUACGGGCAUGACUGGAGUUCGGCAGGGGAGACUGGAAUUCCUGGUGUAGCGGUGAAAUGCGCAGAUAUCAGGAGGAACACCGGUGGCGAAGGCGGGUCACUGGCCCGGUACUGACGCUGAGGUGCGAAAGCGUGGGGGAGCAAACAGG
rnacentral:rRNA from 1 species